UUUAACCGGAUAUGUUCCGAAAAUUGCCCAAAACACCGUUUGACUGUAUUGAAUUAGCCAUUAAGAGCUAAAAGAAUAUAUUCAAAACAUUAGGGGUAAAUAAUAAUAAUGAGUUUUUUGCAUUCCAGUGAAUUUGAAGUCAGCUUGCCCCAUCCCUUAGCUAGCUUAUAAUUUUCUGGAAGCUCAAGUUUGACAACCUGGCGUAGUCUGAACUGUGUCCAGUGAGAAAAAUGUCGACAGUUGUUGGAACAGCUUGAUCAGCCACACCAGGCUGACAGAGGGGGCAAACCUGCGUGUCAGGGGUCCUAAAUUGGCAGGGGCCAGCCGUGGUGAAGGGGAUGGACAUUCACUGGAUUACCAAGAGUCGGCUGGCUGAAGAUCACUAGCAGUCCUCAGCAGCCCCGGCCCCCGUCCCGAUGAUGUAAUUAUUUCCCAGCGGCACCUGGGAGCAACGGCCGCCAUUCGGAGGCAUCGCUCACAGCCAACAGACCAGCGACGCUGUCACGGUGAUGCAGGUCCAAAAGUUUCCAGAAGAGCAGACGAAGAAGGAAGUCAGAGGGCUGGAUCAGCUGUCCUGUGAUCUCCCGUGCGAGCCAAGCUGUCUGAUUGGCUGGAGGGCUGGAGGGCCAUCUUGCCUCCCUGGCAGGCAAGUGGCUCAAGCAGUUUGGUUGAGGAGGUGUGUGUGUGUGUGUGUGUGUGUGUGUGUGUGUGUGUGUGUGUGUGUGUGUGUGUGUGUGUGUGUGUGUGUGUGUGUGUGUGUGUGUGUGUGUGAGAGAGAGAGACGAGAGGAGGGGUAAGAAUUUGGAAAAGCAGAGGGUGAAAAUGUGUGGCUGUUGGUGUGUUGGGGUUUUAUGACAGAGGACUGUGAAGAUAAGGAAUGGAUGGCUGUUCCAUAUGUGUGUAUGCAUUGUGGCAUAUGUGUCUUUGUACUGUAUGAGCUUACAUGGGCAAGAAAAAUCAUGGAGGUCAUUAAAAAUCUCAAAGUUUCUGAAACAAGGCCAAAAUAAGGC